rnacentral:rRNA from 1 species
UACGUAGGGUGCGAGCGUUAAUCGGAAUUACUGGGCGUAAAGCGUGCGCAGGCGGUUCGUUGUGUCGGUGGUGAAAGCCCCGGGCUUAACCUGGGAAUGGCCAUGGAAACUGGCGAACUGGAGUGUGGCAGAGGGGGGUGGAAUUCCGGGUGUAGCGGUGGAAUGCGUAGAGAUCCGGAAGAACACCGGUGGCGAAGGCGGCAUCCUGGACCGACACUGACGCUGAGGAGCGAAAGCCAGGGGAGCAAACGGG